rnacentral:rRNA from 1 species
GACGAACGCUGGCGGCGUGCCUAAUACAUGCAGGUAGAACGCUGAAGGAGGAGCUUGCUUCUCUGGAUGAGUUGCGAACGGGUGAGUAACGCGUAGGUAACCUGCCUGGUAGCGGGGGAUAACUAUUGGAAACGAUAGCUAAUACCGCAUAAGAGUAGAUGUUGCAUGACAUUUGCUUAAAAGGUGCAAUUGCAUCACUACCAGAUGGACCUGCGUUGUAUUAGCUAGUUGGUGGGGUAACGGCUCACCAAGGCGACGAUACAUAGCCGACCUGAGAGGGUGAUCGGCCACACUGGGACUGAGACACGGCCCAGACUCCUACGGGAGGCAGCAGUAGGGAAUCUUCGGCAAUGGACGGAAGUCUGACCGAGCAACGCCGCGUGAGUGAAGAAGGUUUUCGGAUCGUAAAGCUCUGUUGUAAGAGAAGAACGAGUGUGAGAGUGGAAAGUUCACACUGUGACGGUAUCUUACCAGAAAGGGACGGCUAACUACGU